rnacentral:rRNA from 1 species
UACGUAGGGAGCAAGCGUUGUCCGGAAUCAUUGGGCGUAAAGCGCGCGUAGGUGGCUUCGUAAGUCCGCUGUGAAAGUCAAAGGCUCAACCUUUGAAAGCCGGUGGAUACUGUGAAGCUAGAGUACGGAAGAGGCGAGUGGAAUUCCUGGUGUAGCGGUGGAAUGCGCAGAUAUCAGGAGGAACACCAAUAGCGAAGGCAGCUCG